rnacentral:miRNA from 1 species
GAUGAAGAAGUGGAAGGAAGAAGA